rnacentral:rRNA from 1 species
AAAUGCGAUACUUGGUGUGAAUUGCAGAAUCCCGUGAACCAUCGAGUCUUUGAACGCAAGUUGCGCCCGAAGCCGUUAGGCCGAGGGCACGUCUGCCUGGGCGUCACGCAUCGCGUCGCCCCCCGCGC